rnacentral:rRNA from 1 species
UGGGGAAUCUUGCACAAUGGGCGAAAGCCUGAUGCAGCAACGCCGCGUGAGUGAAGAAGGCCCUUGGGUUGUAAAGCUCUUUCGGCUAGGAAGAAGGGUCAUUUGGUUAACACCCAGAAGGCUUGACGGUACUAGAAGAAGAAGCACCGGCAAAUUUCGUGCCAGCAGCUGCGGUAAUACGGAAGGUGCAAGCGUUGUUCGGAAUGACUGGGCGUAAAGCGCGCGUAGGCGGGUUUGUAUGUCGGAUGUGAAAGCCCUAGGCUUAACCUGGGAACUGCAUUCGAAACUGCAAAUCUUGAAUGUUUGAGAGGUUAGCGGAAUUCCAGGUGUAGGAGUGAAAUCCGUAGAUAUCUGGAGGAACAUCAGAGGCGAAGGCGGCUAACUGGCAAUACAUUGACGCUGAGGUGCGAAAGCGUGGGGAGCAAACAGG